rnacentral:rRNA from 1 species
GGCUAUAGCCAAGUAACCUGAACAAGCCCGAUCCUGUCUGAUCUUGGAAGCUAAGCAGGGUUGGGCCUGGUUAGUACUUGGAUGGGAGAUCACCUAGGAAGACCAGGUACUGUAGGCA